GAAGGCCUCCAAACAUACUCACUGUUUUGUGGCAGCUAGGGUAACCCAGACUCAACCUUCUCACCUAAGAAUAGCAUUCAGCUUAGAAGUUUCUACUCUAAACUGAAAAGUGGAAAUGAUAAUUACUUGAUCAGUAGAGAACUCCAAGUUGAAUUUAUCUCAAAGAUAGUGUACUCCAAGUAAAAGAUUCUGCUGUUAAAUAUUACUUAUGAUUGAACAAUAGAUAUCAUUAGGUAAGAGAAUUCUGAAAAGGAAUGAGUAAGCUUCUCUGCAGAAAUGAAAUCUGUUCUUGAUCAUCUUGAUCAGAGUAAUGACAGAAGGAGGAGGAAAUCUAUAAUGAUGUUUUGAUAAACUUGCUCAGUCAGAUGCCCUAACAUUUACAUCAAAAGGAAAAUAAACAUAAACCACAGCAGCAGAGACUUCUGUGACAUGGGAUGCAAGAUACUUCUCUUGCACUUCCCAACUCUUAAACCCCACCUCUAAGAAGAACUUUAAUAAGAACAAACCAAGGCUUCUCAUCCUGAGAUUAGAAAGCUCAGAAAGGUGCAAAACUUAGAAGAGACAUCAAAAUCAAAGCUGAAUAUUUGGAUUCAAAUUGCAAAGGAAGAUAAGGGAUAUUUUUGGAGAAUCACGAAGGCUAUGUCUGUGGUUAUUGCUUUAAAUCAGUUUAAGCACACACUGCAUUUUAAAUAAG